rnacentral:rRNA from 1 species
AGUGAACGCUGGCGGUAGGCCUAACACAUGCAAGUCGAACGGUAGCACAGUAAGAGCUUGCUCUUACGGGUGGCGAGUUGCGUACGGGUGAGGUAUACAUCGGACUCUACUUUUUCGUGGCUGAUAACGUAGUGAAACUUCCGCUAAUACCGCAUACGACCUACGGGUGAAAUCAGGGGAUCUUCGGACCUUGCGCGAUUUAAUGAGCCGAUGUCGGAUUAGCUAGUUGGCGGGGUAAAGGCCCACCAAGGCGACGCUCCGUAGCUGGUCUGAGAGGAGGAAGAGCCACACUGGAACUGAGACACGGCACAGACUCCUACGGGAGGCAGAAGUGGGGAAUAGUGGACAAAGGGCGCAAGACUGAUCCAGCCAUACCGCGUGGGUGAAGAAGGCCUGCGGGUUGUAAAGCCCUUUUGUGGGGAAAGAAAAGCAGCAGGAGAAUACCCGGCUGUUCUGACGGUACCCAAAGAAGAAGCACCGGCUAACUUCGUG